UAGAGACGAAAUCACAACCAAUAUUUAAAUGUGAGAUAAUCAACUAACACGUAAUUUUGUACACAUUGUAAAAAAAAAAAGCAAGAGUUGAUUAUCAAACAAAAAAGUGUUAGAAAGAGCAACAGAUCAUUCAAGGGCAGACUAGGUUUGAAUUGGCUUGACAGAUGGGAUGCAGACAUGCCAUAGGAAAGUCUUACAAACUCAUCAGACAACGCAAAGAAAAGUGAUAGCAUUGUUUCUGAACAUGACAAAGCUUUGGUCAUGAAGAAAAAUUUCACAACCAGAGUUUUUGGUAGACCUCCUCCAAUGUCAUCAUCAGCUACGAGUUUUGAGACUUCAUCCACAUCUCAGUCUCUAUUUCAAUUCUCAUGAAGUUUCCUUUAGAGAAGAGGUUAUUACAAAAAGCCAAGUUACAUGAACCUAACACAAUCUAUCAAAGGUAAGAAGAGACGAUCAACCAGUAUUCUUCAUCUUCUUGUUUCAAAAUCACUGUUUGAAAAUAAACAGUCAAUGUCUUACAACGAAGAUGUGAAUGUAAAGUGUUGUGCAUGUUCGGAUCCAUCUUGCACCCAGUGGAGUGAUCUAUAUCCACAUGCUCAAGUAACAAGGAGAAAUAUGUAGGCAAAGAAGCUAAAGUAAACAUUGUUUCAUUAAAUCAUUAAAGCAUUUCAACACCUUGACGGUUCUAAAACACACACAAAAUGCUGAUUUAUUGAUAUAUAAGCAACUUCUAUGUAUGUUUUUUUACAUACGAGUUAGUAUGAAAACCGCUGCAAUGUUGUUGUUUGACCACUUUUAUUAUUUAAUAGUUAACUUCUGAUGAUUCUAAGAUAAUAUGUUAUUCCCAACUCUUGUCAAUAUGAAAGCAAGAGCAAAGUUUCAUCUUUAUACAUGAAAGACCAAUAAAAUGACCAAAAAACAUAGUUUAGACGAAAGCUUCCUAAUAAAAUUUAUUCUCACUAUCUAAAUCUAAAACUGAAUUCAAUUCAUCUAUCUGAUUAUUAUAUAGUUUUCAUUUUCGUUAUUUUAUUGAAUUGAGUAAAAAAAAUUCAAUUAUAAACUUAGUAAUUUUUUAGUAUAAUCUUAUAAAUUAUGUAACGUGUGGGACAUCCACCUAAUAAACUAUUAAUUUAAAUAGUAAUGUUUGAAAAGUAUUUUAUUGACAUUGUUUUAAAUAAAUUCAUAAUUCUAAAAAUAGCAAUAACUUUUUGAAAACAUCAGAUUUAUGUACACGCAUAGGACACAUACCUUUUUAUUUACUUAAAGGUAAAUGAACGAGUCUAAAUUUUCCACAUGUUAUAUGAGCAAAACAUGGAUUUUUCUAAAUUGGAUUAGUUUUUAUCGGAACACAUUAAUGUGCGUUUCUUAAAUUAGAUUUUUAAUAUGUAUAUAUACGUAUGAAUACUUCUUAUAUUUAAAUAAAAAAUAGAAUACUUCAUCUCUUUCCUAAAUUUUUAAGCCAAUAUCAAUCCAUUUCUAUAAUCCAAGAUGAAGAAAUCCCUUCAACUCUCGUUUACGUUCUUAAUUAUCUCCAUCAUUCUCUCACAAGGAAUGAUGGCAGAUGCGCAGAAAAAGAAUUGCCCUCAUAAAAUUCCAAUAAAAGGAAGCUAUUGUGCUCCAACUAUAUGUUUGGAUAAGUGUAAGAAGCAACAUGGAACUGUUGGUAGUUGUGCAGAAGAAAAAGGAUUUUGUAACUGCGCUUGUAAGUAAGGGUUCUCACUAAGUGUUAUGAAUCUAGUAAUGUCCAACCAAAGUUUUAUAUUAUUUCUUUUAACAAUAAGUCUAAAUGUUUGUCUCUGAUUUGUGGAUCUAUUUAUAAUAAAUAAUAAUAUGAAUGUUAAAUAAA